rnacentral:rRNA from 1 species
ACAGCAGCCGCCGCGGUAAAACGGAGGAUCCAAGCGUUAUCCGGAAUCAUUGGGUUUAAAGGGUCCGUAGGCGGUCUUGUAAGUCAGUGGUGAAAGCCCAUCGCUCAACGGUGGAACGGCCAUUGAUACUGCAGGACUUGAAUUAUUGGGAAGUAACUAGAAUAUGUAGUGUAGCGGUGAAAUGCUUAGAGAUUACAUGGAAUACCGAUUGCGAAGGCAGGUUACUACCAAUUGAUUGACGCUGAUGGACGAAAGCGUGGGUAGCGAACAGGAUUAGAUACCCCAGUAGUCCCUGUCUCUUAUAC